CAUUACACUAACAUUGUUGGAUUUUUCCUGGUUGUUUUGCUUAAAAAAAAAAAAGCCACGGGCUUCCUACGUAAGAAGAGCUGAGGUAUUGCCAUAUGCUUUUCAGAGACUUACCUUAAGCUGACUUUUUAUAACAAGCACACCAAUUUUCCUUAGACUGUAUGUUUAUUUGGGGUGGCUGUCGGCGAAAUUGUUAGGGAUGGGGAGAGGGUGCUUAAAAUCCUACCAAAGCCCCUCUUUUAGCCUAGUGACUAAACUGCCAACACGUAAAAAACAAAAAACAAACCUAAAUGUCUAGACAAGGGAGAGAAAGUGCCAAAUCUAACAAUUUUUUUUUUCAAACCAGCUUCCCUUGGUGUCCACAGGGUGCAAGCACGUGAUGAGAGUACAGAGCACCAGCGACAACAGCCUGAGAUGACAGACAGAUAAUGGGAUGUCAGCCCUAGAUGGAAAUGUCACAUCAGCCCUUUCCCAGGUGGCCUCCGGGGUGGUAGACUGCAGGAGAUCGCGUCCCUCCUCUUAGAUGGCUUAAAGGCAGGCAGGCAACAGACUCUAGCGCAAACGUCUGGCUGCAGAUAAAACGCGAUUAGCUCACCUGCGCCGCCCUUUCUUCCGAAGCCGGAGGGCUGGGCUCUGCGGCGGGAGGCGUGUUGGCUGUCGCAGAGCCCUCUGGGAGUUGUAGUCCGCGGCGGCGGGAGGUUUGACUGCGGCGGCCGGCUUAGCGCUCUCAGAACUGCAUCCCCCGCUGGCCCCCGCGGCCUAGGCCGUUGCCUUUUCCUGUUCAGGGGACAAGAACCCUUGCUGCAGCAAGUUGAGAAGUUUGGGGGAGGGGUGUCCUCCUUCCUGCCGAGCUCUCUGAGAUUAAGGGCUCGGCCUGCUCAGGUAGAGGACGUUCCGGGCCUUGCAAACUCAUCUCCCGGGAGGGAGCGGAGGGAAAGGGGGGACAAGGCUGCUAAGGCUGAGCUUCCGACGGAGUCGGCUGUUACCCGGGGAAGUUCUUCAGGGAAACGCCUCGGAACUGUGGCUUCUUGCGGAAGCGGUGAGGCCAAAGCCGGGGCCCGCGGAGACCGGUCCGGAGAGGCAGCGCGCGUUCCUAGAGGUCUCGGGACUGACUUCUUCAGUGCUUAG
rnacentral:lncRNA from 1 species